UGGCUCAGUGGUAGAGCGUUUGCCUUGCAUGCAUGAGGCCUUGGGUUCAAUUCCUCA
rnacentral:tRNA from 1 species